CCUGUCGGUACUUGAAGAAGCGGAGCCAGGGCUGAGAUCCCGAAGGCGGGCGAGGUCUGGGAUGGGGCGGGGCCUAUGGGAGCGGGGCUGAAGCCCUGGGCCCGGCAGAGGAAGGUCGAGAUGGACCAUGUUGGGCCCCUUCUCUCCCCGCCCCCAGGCCGCAGUUCGGGGGCCACGCCCCGGCGUGCUCGGGUCACCGCGGGAAGCCCUUGAACCCCCUGGCGCCCGGCACCCACGUGCGGUAACCGCGGCUCCUCGAGAGCUCCAGGGAUGCGGAUCUACAGUAAGGGCUGUGGCCAGAUGAAUGAAUGCACAUUUUUUAGUGGGCAGAAAGAUGUUAGAAUUCAUGAAUUAGAAUAAGCACAAAGGAGGGCGAGAGGGGAGGCCGUGGAAGCCGCAUUCCUCCCCUUGCCUUGGGCGCCCACCCCCGAAGGGGCGCGUCCCCUCCCUGCUCCACUGCACGUGGGUGUUUAACCAGGGGAUAUCCAGUGCCUCAAGCACCACGACCCGGGAGAAAACUGAGUUGAGAAGGUCUUCUAACAAGCCUUUUGCACACCUGCCAUGUAUUUUGUCAGGCCUUGGGGAUGAAGGUGAGAAAUUCGAGAAUCCCCGGAGAUAACACAUCAGCAAAUAGUGCGCAGGCAGAACAAGCUGUUGGAGGUGAGAGACACAGAGCAGAGAAGCACCCGCACCUGGAGAGUCAGGAGGGCCUCACAUCAGAACGCCUGAGCAAAUACAGUUUUGAAGGAUACUAAUUUUUUAAAAAGUUCAUUCACAUGAGUUAGACAAAGAGAAAGAAGCAGGACAUUCUAGGAAGAAGGAACGGCCCAGGCAAAAGCGACGCGUACAUUGGCGUGGGUCCAUUCAAGAAUUGUGCCCACAAUAUACCAGGCACUUGUCCAGACCUGCAUCGUCCAAUGCCCACCUCGACCUCCCAAAGUGUUGGGAUUAGAGGCGUGAGCCACCGCGCCCUGCCUGCAUGUGGCUAUUGAGAUGUGCUGUAUGAUACACACCGGACUUUGAAGACUCAGUGUGAAAAAUAAAAAGAAUUUUAAGAGGGGUGGGGGUCGAGGGGAGGCAGAGCAGUAGGACAAAUAGCUAAUGCACGCAGGGCUUAAAACCUAGACAACAGGUUGAUGGGUGCAGCAAACCACCAUGACACAUGUUUAUCUAUAUAGCACCUACAUGUUCUGCACUUGUAUCCUGGAACUUAAAAUUAGAAAAAAAAAAUAAUAAAAGCCAACAUGGCAUUCAUUACUGCCAAAAAAAUUAAAA
ensembl:lncRNA RNASEH1-DT RNASEH1 divergent transcript